AUAACAGGAAGCACAUCUACACCAUCGUAUCUUAAAUCUUUGUUCACAGAUGUCACUAACCUCUCAUUAGCUCAAACGGCUCACAAGGCCAUCCCCACAUUCCGGAGACUGCAAAAUACAUUCUGUCCUUCAUGAGACGAUUGCAAAGAGAUGGAUGUAGAACACUCCUACGGGGAAGAGAAGCGUGAGGACUAACAAGUUAAACUACCAGAGAUAAAAAGAAAGGAAACUUCACUCAGUCACUAGUACCUUAAUUCAAUUAAAAUAUAUUUUGUUUCUUUUUUUGGCUUUUUCCUGGAUCAGAAGAGACCAAAGUCUAGUCUGAACAGGGAGAAGAGCGAUGAAGUAAGUGAAGCUAUUUCAGAGACAGUACAGUUCAGCAAAAAUAUACAAACAAUGAUGGAUUUCACAAUACACUUGAGUCUUCUUUGGUCCCUCUGGAACUCUCUCUCUCUUCCUCUCUUAGAUUAGAAAUAUUUGGAAAUGGACAUUGUCUACUUUUCCUCUCACUCUCUCCAAAACAAGUGGAGGUCCUAACGUUCUAAGUUGGCCUGAAGACCCUAGAAGGGGGGCUGGUUUCAAGAAGAAGCCAUGCAAGGCUCAGUCCAUGCUAAGAAGCUGGGAAUCAAGAGUCCAUUAAAUGCAAGGAGCAGGCGAAGAGCAAGAACUAGAUUUGAAGUAUGAGGUUUACAAGGAGAAACAGGAAUCGGGAUUUCUAGAAAAGAAACACAAGAGAACAAUUAUUCACCUCAUUAAGGAAUCACUAAAGAAUCUCAUUAAAUCAACAGGUAAGGAGGACACACGGAAUGGACCUAUCUGAGAAAAGGGAAAGAAUGGUUAGGGAUGAAGAAGAAAACAACACAGACUCUUUGGGGGAUGAGGGCACAGGAAAUUAGCAGGAGAUGACACUUGUGCGGUAGCAGGUGUUCCCACUGGGUGAGGCUUGGU